rnacentral:antisense_RNA from 1 species
CCAGAAGCCACAGGCUGCUAAGCAAAAGCAGUAAUCGGGCAGCAAGCAGAUGGGAUAAGAUGACUGGGGUUUGGCCAGAUGAUUUGGUGCUGGGGCUCCCUACACAACUACCACCAGGAAGGAGGAGCCCACACAUUUCUGGAAUCUGCCACUUUUAAUCGUGAACGGAGGCUCGGCCUGGUCAGCCCAGGAGCCUGAAGUCAUAUCCAAGAGGCUGCCAUGAAAUGAGGAGACAUCUUGGCCACGGGAUUCUUUUCCCUUAAGGCAAAGGACUCUGGGUGUCCUUCACUCCUAAACCAAGCCUCCUUUGCUGGAAGUUCUGCACCCUUCCUGGGCAUCCUGGGAGCAUGGCAUUGGCAUUAGCUGAUACUCGGAUGCCUUUUGCCUGGAUCAGCCAAAAACCCACAGGUAGGGCUGCUGCCUCUACCAGGAGACCAGAAGCCUGACAAGCUAAGGAUGCUCCGUCUCCUCAGACAAGAAGGAUGCUGGGCGAGCUCAGUACAGAACAGGAGUCACAGCCAGAGUUGCCACCAAGUGUACUUUAUUGACUCCACUGUGGACAGAUAUACGAAGGUAACAUUUGCAUACACAUAGGGUAAAGGGUCAAGCCCUCAGCCUCAGGCAGGGGGAGGGCCAGAUGUGGACCGUGGGACACAGGGCAGCUAGAAUCCAGAAUGUGGCGUUCUUUGUGAAAGCGACUGAAAGACUACCGCAGAGGUGGUAGAGAAAAUGAUGAUGCAGAUAAUGACCAUGAGGACACUGAAGAUCAGGGAGCUGAUGUUCAGGCACUUGGCAGUGGAGGCGUAGGCCUGGGCUCCAAUCACAUCGCCCACCAUCUUCCUGUCCCUGGACUGGAGGAAACCAGAUGGGCAGAAUGGAUCAAGGAAGAGAUCGUUAAGUCUGACUUCAGAGCCCCUGUUCACCUCUAGAUGUACAACCUUCACCAUCGACCAGAGCCUCAAAAGCUGGAGCAGGUCACACAUCCGUAAUGCCGGCACUUGGGAACUGUAAGCAGGAGGAUCCAUUCAAGGUCCACUCUGGACUACGUGAGAUCUUGUCUCAAAUAAAUGAAUAACAAGUA